AAGGGAAUGGAGGGGGUUGGUUUCCGGGGAAUAGUAAAGUGCAGAUUAAUAUACAAAAGAGUUUGGAUAGAGAAAUGGCGGUCUCUACGCUAUCCAUUGUCGUAACACCAAAACCUCACGCCCUCCAAACCUUCAAUCCCAAACUCUCUCUCACCUUCAAACCCUCCAAUGCUACCUAUUCUUGUUCGUCUUUUCGUUGCUCUUCCUCUCUCAAUUCUAAUUCUCCACCCAACAAUGUGAGGCGAGUAUUGGAUAUAGUAGGCCUUGGUCUUUUGGCCUCUUCUGUGGUGGCUUUGUUGCCGUUGGAUGCCUCCGCCACCCGAAUCGAGUACUAUGCCACGGUGGCUGAGCCGCCCUGUGAGCUCAACUUCGCUCGCUCUGGCCUGGGUUACUGCGAUCUUGCUGUUGGUUCCGGUGAGGUCGCUCCUCUCGGUGAGCUUGUCAAUAUUCACUACACUGCAAGGUUUGCUGAUGGGAUAGUUUUUGACAGCAGCUACAAACGAGGUCGACCUCUCACUAUGCGUAUCGGUCUUCGCAAAGUGAUAAAGGGAUUGGAUCAAGGAAUCUUAGGGGGUGACGGCGUACCCCCAAUGCUAGUUGGUGGAAGACGUAAACUUCAAAUUCCACCAAAGUUGGCAUAUGGGCCAGAACCUGCUGGCUGCUUUUCAGGGGACUGCAACAUACCUGCGAAUGCAACUCUUGUGUACGACAUCAACUUUGUUGGCAUCUACAAGGGAAAUAGGAAGUGAAGGAUGUCCAAUUCAUAUGAUAGCGAAUAUAUGACAAACCUGGGGCAAUGUGUUCCAAGUCUGUGGAGCAAAAGAGUGAAGAAUAGUUACCAAGUAUAGAUUGCAAGGUAAGCCAUAAUAUCAUGGCUGACAGAGCAAGUCACCUUUUGUAAGAAGAAUGAGAGAAGUGGUUGUUGCUUGUCAACUCAGCUUGAUUGCUUGGAACAACCAUCCUCAAUUACGUGUUAGAAUUUAGCUCAUCUUCAUCUUUUGUAUUUUGUAAUCGUGGAUCCUCCCAAAUUUGAUUAUGCUACAAGUUCUUUGAUUUUCCUCAAAAUUAUUUAAUGA